CACGUAGGGCGCAAGCGUUGUCCGGAAUUAUUGGGCGUAAAGAGCUCGUAGGCGGACUGUCACGUCUGCUGUGAAAAGCUAGGGCUUAACCCUGGCCUUGCAGUGGAUACGGGCAGACUAGAGGUAGGUAGGGGAGAAUGGAAUUCUCGGUGUAGCGGUGAAAUGCGCAGAUAUCGGGAGGAACACCGGUGGCGAAGGCGGUUCUCUGGGCCUUACCUGACGCUGAGGAGCGAAAGCGUGGGGAGCGAACAGG
rnacentral:rRNA from 1 species